AAGGCGAUGGAGACCAGCCUCGGCUGGACUACUUCCUCCCCAGAGGCCCUUCACCGCCUCCCCAUCCAGACCCAAGGUUCCCUAGUGGUCCGGACGGUUUCCUUGGCAUCGCUGGCACCAGGCCCACCACAGCUGCCAAACAUGAGCUGAUGAGACAGCCCUCGUGGUCUCCACCCACUGCCCUGGUAGAGAAGUGAAACAUGAACCCAUCAGUGCAAGACAGAGGAAGAGGCACCAGCGAAGACACAGUGGCUCAUGCCUGUAAUCCCAGCACUUUGGGAGGCCGACGUGAA